rnacentral:rRNA from 1 species
CCUACGGGAGGCAGCAGUGAGGAAUAUUGGUCAAUGGGCGGAAGCCUGAACCAGCCAAGUAGCGUGCAGGAUGACGGCCCUACGGGUUGUAAACUUCUUUUAUACGGGAAUAACGUGCCUUACGUGUAGGGUUUUGCAUGUACCGUAUGAAUAAGGACCGGCUAAUUCCGUGCCAGCAGCCGCGGUAAUACGGAAGGUCCGGGCGUUAUCCGGAUUUAUUGGGUUUAAAGGGAGCGUAGGCCGCAUGUCAAGCGUGCUGUGAAAUGUCCGGGCUCAACCCGGGCCUUGCAGCGCGAACUGGCGUGCUUGAGUACGGGGAAGGCAGGCGGAAUUCGUGGUGUAGCGGUGAAAUGCUUAGAUAUGACGAAGAACCCCGAUUGCGAAGGCAGCUUGCUGCAGCGGAACUGACGCUGAUGCUCGAAAGCGCGGGUAUCGAACAGGAUUAGAUACCCCGGUAGUC